AGGCUUUUCAUCGGUGGAGUGGAAGAACAAUAGCAGAGAGAGCUGCCCCCAGUGGAAGGGGAGCUAUCGGAAGCCUUGGAUGCCCAGGAGCUGAGGAGGGAACCAUGCUGUGAUGCCAGUUUUAACCACCUGCCAAGUCUGAAAGUGCUAAUUGAGAAGAGAGGAGGUUAUCAGGGGAAUCAAAGAAAUCUGGCCUGCAGUCCCCGGUGCCAGGGAAGACAUCUAAUGAUCUGUGGUCUUCUCCACAUGGUUGACUCCAAGGGGAAGAAACCUGAAGCAAAGGACGUAUUACAAAGAUUUUGGAGAAUGCAUGGAAUAAAGGAAGGACUGAACAAUUAAGCUAUGGGAAGAACUGAAACACAGAAGUUCCAAGACCUCCAGAAGCUGGGGAAUGGAAACAUGCUUUCUAUAGCAUUGCCUAGCGUCGUGCAACUCUGACACUCUCUGUUUCUAUGUAUCUCAAUUCAGGUUUUCCAAUUAUUAGAAGAAUUAAUCUAACUGAACAAACUUGGGUCAGAUAUCUGUAUUUUGAGAGCAUAUAGCUAUGUCCAGGGGACAGAGUAGAAUACAUAGGCUUAUCCUUGGGGUAACUACAUGGAGCUGAGCAACCAUCGCAGUUUGUGUCUCCUACAUUCCACCUGUUGAUUGUGGUGGUUGUGUACACACACACGAACGUACACACAGACCCACACACACACUCUCUCUCUCUCUUCUUUCUCUCUCACUUCUCUAUACUCAAUAUAUAUAUUUUUCUCCAUCUAUCCACAAAUGCCUCAAUUCAACUAAAAGUAAUUAAUCCAUACAUAAUAACUAACACUCUUGUCUUCUUCUAAAAUGGGAAAUGACCUAAAUUCAUGCCCAGCUAUUAAACAAGGUACGAUGUCAUGAUACCACAUUUUUUUUUGAAAUCAGGCUCCCUGGGUGAUAUCCAUUUGUAUUAUAUAUGUGUAAUAAUUUCAUCUGGGCAUUCUGCAACUACACAGCCUGUGAAGGGGAGAAAGGUUAGGGAAUCAAUACUAAUAUAAAUAUUGACCUAGUAUAGGUUUAGUAUGCAAAGAAAUGCAAGUGCAGAUUUUUUUAUUUGCUGCUGAAACUGGUCAUGAGGUUUAUUGUAGUCCAUUCAGGUUGCUACAACAAAAUGCCAUAAACUCGAUAGCUUAUAAACAGUAGAAAUUUAUUUCUCAUGGUUCUGGAGACUGGGAAGUACAAGCUCAUGGUGCCAUCAGAUUCGGUGUCUGGACAGGAUCUGCUUUCUGGUUCAUAGAUAGUACCUUCUCACUGUCCUCAUGUGGUGGAAGGAACAA
rnacentral:lncRNA from 1 species